rnacentral:lncRNA from 1 species
CCAAACAGUGGAUGGAGCUUAUGGAUUCUUAUAGAAAAGUUGGGGAAGCAUAGAGGACCCUGAAUGCAAUGGGAUCACCACAGGAAGACCAAGAGAAUCAACUAACCUGGACUCUUGGGGGCUCUCAGAGACUGAAUCACCAACAAAAGAGCAUACAUGGGGUGCACCUAGGCUUCCUUACACAUAUGCAGCACAUGUGCAUCUUGGUUUGCAUGUGGGACUGGAACAACUUGAGUGGGGACUAUCCAUAAAAGCUGUUGCCUAUCUGUGGAAUAUGUUUCCCUAACAAGGCUAUCUUGUCUGACCUCAGAGGCAGAAGAAACACAUAGCCCUACAGAGACUUGAUGUGCCAGGGUUGGGGGAUUCCUGUGGGGGGGGCUCCACCCUUUCAGAGGAGAAGGGUAUGGGGAAUGGGAGGAGGGGCUGUGGAAGGGGAACAGAGAUCAGGUUGUAAAGCGAAUAAUAAAAAAAACAAAC